GAGUUUGAUCCUGGCUCAGGAUGAACGCUAGCGGCAGGCUUAAUACAUGCAAGUCGAGGGGCAGCGCGGGUAGCAAUACUUGGCGGCGACCGGCAAACGGGUGCGGAACACGUACGCAACCUUCCCAAAACUGGGGAAUAGCCCUCCGAAAGGAGGAUUAAUACCCCGUAACACAAUUAAGAGGCAUCUCUUGAUUGUUAUAGCUCAGGCGGUUUUGGAUGGGCGUGCGGCUGAUUAGGUAGUUGGCGGGGUAACGGCCCACCAAGCCAUCGAUCAGUAACUGGUGUGAGAGCACGACCAGUCACACGGGCACUGAGACACGGGCCCGACUCCUACGGGAGGCAGCAGUAAGGAAUAUUGGUCAAUGGACGCAAGUCUGAACCAGCCAUGCCGCGUGAAGGAUGAAGGCCCUCUGGGUUGUAAACUUCUUUUAUCUGGGACGAAAAAAGGGGAUUCUUCCUCACUUGACGGUACCAGAGGAAUAAGCACCGGCUAACUCCGUGCCAGCAGCCGCGGUAAUACGGAGGGUGCAAGCGUUAUCCGGAUUCACUGGGUUUAAAGGGUGCGUAGGUGGGCAGGUAAGUCAGUGGUGAAAUCUUCGAGCUUAACUCGGAAACUGCCAUUGAUACUAUCUGUCUUGAAUAUCCUGGAGGUGAGCGGAAUAUGCCAUGUAGCGGUGAAAUGCUUAGAUAUGACAUAGAACACCAAUUGCGAAGGCAGCUCACUACGGGAUGAUUGACGCUGAGGCACGAAAGCGUGGGGAUCAAACAGGAUUAGAUACCCUGGUAGUCCACGCCCUAAACGAUGGAUACUCGACAUAUGCGAUACACUGUAUGUGUCUGAGCGAAAGCAUUAAGUAUCCCACCUGGGAAGUACGACCGCAAGNGAAACUCAAAGGAAU
rnacentral:rRNA from 1 species